AACGCGAAGAACCUUACCUACACUUGACAUCCCGCGAACUAGGCUGAAAGGCCUGGGUGCCGAAAGGAACGCGGAGACAGGUGCUGCAUGGCUGUCGUCAGCUCGUGUUGUGAGAUGUUGGGUUAAGUCCCGUAACGAGCGCAACCCUUGUCCUUAGUUGCCAGCAAUUAGAUGGGGACUCUAAGGAGACUGCCGGUGAGGAACCGGAGGAAGGCGGGGACGACGUCAAGUCAUCAUGGCCUUUAUGUGUAGGGCUACACACGUGCUACAAUGGGGCGUACAGAGGGUAGCCAACCUGUGAAGGGGAGCCAAUCUCAGAAAGCGCCUCGUAGUCCGGAUUGGAGUCUGCAACUCGACUCCAUGAAGUUGGAAUCGCUAGUAAUCGCGAAUCAGCGACGUCGCGGUGAAUACGUUCCCGGGCCUUGUACACACCGAGUAUA
rnacentral:rRNA from 1 species